CAAAAACAACGUGCUUUUGCAAAUUGUGAGUGCGUCGGUGCGUUUGGGUUGCGAAUCGCCAGUUUUUGGCCAGAAAACUCGUAUAUUCCGGGGUGCGUCGUGCUCUUGAGUGCUUCAGGGUUCGGUGGAAGGCAAAGUGCGGACGAGACUCGUCAACACAAAACUUAUGGAGAUUCCUUUGGAUUCCAGACCCGUCCCUGAAGCAAAUUAAGAUUAAAUUUACUUACGGAGGAAGGAGCACGAGGAAAAACAGUCUUGGCGUGAACAUUGGCAUGAUGAAGGGUUGCUGGUUGACAGAGGAUGACUCGUGCAUCGGCGUCGGAUUCACCUUCGGGUGGUCGUCGAGGAUCUUGUCCGUGGCCAUCGCCGCAGCCUCUGGCCCCUGCACACCCGCAGCACUGCGCAAAACACACACUUAUUUUUUGAACCGGCACGAGAGCGAGUUUAUUUAUCAGUUGAACGGGCGGUGCAGCAUGACAUGCGAUGCGGAGAACUAAAGCGAAAUUUACAAACGCGGAAAUGAUUUCUCCGAUAGGGCCGAAGAUCGAGAGCAAGAAGUAAAUAUAUAAAGCGACACUUACUACAAAACACCGCCAACUGCGACUCCCAUUAUAAUCAUCAAACUGAAAUUCAAGAACGUUCUUAUUAUUUAUGUAAGGAAAUAUUUAAAAAUCUGCUCUUACCAUGAUUCCGGUAUUCGUGAUGAUAAAAAGUGUACGUGAUGGAAAGCUGAAAAUUUUUUGUAUUAAAAUUUUUUUUAAGGAACGUUCAAAAGGUAAUAAAAGUUUUACAUUAAAUUUCCGUUUUUAAAUAAGAAAUCAACCAAAUGUAUCAAUUUUGAUCACAAGGGAGAAUGCAAACCAAAAUACUAAUUUUGAAAUCCAUCACGUUCAUUUCAAUCAAAGUGUUAACAAAAAUAAGCACAAAAUUAGUUUAUUUGUUACAUUUGAUUCAGAUCAUUGAUUAUUUUUUGAUUACUUUGGAGAUUCUUUGAAAAUAGAUCAUUUUUCGAAUUGCUGCUUCUUUAUAUCUUAAUGUCCACAGUUGCAUACUGAUUUUGAGGUCGAAAUUCUCUAAUAAAUUUUAUGUUUUAUGAAGGU